AAUCAGAAGUGGCUUGGUGUGAGGGUGAGGGGCAAGGGCUUUGGAGUCCAGCAGCCCUGAGCUUGAACCCUGGCUCUGUCACUGCCUGGUCAUUUAAUCGGGGCAAGUCAGCUCACCUCUCCCAGCCCCCACUUCCUCACCUGCACAACAGGGAAUCACUCCACCAUAGGAGUUGCCAGGACUGAGUUAAAAUGAGUGUGUCGAGUGUCCAGCGGGUACCUUAACAAUGCUUCCUAACAGUGAUGGUGGCUACUGCCGGGAAGGAAUCUGGGAGACGGGGUGGGCCACCUGAGCCAAGUCCCUGGGAGCCCAGGUUUGCACAGUGGCAUCAUCAGAGAGCCACCGAGGAGCAGAGUCUGUAAGGAGGCUGCUUCCCUGGGGAAACAGCUCUGGCAGCCGAGGGCCUAAGGCAGCCAGGAGGCUGGGAAAGAGGCUGGGCAAGGUCCCUCAUGCACACCGAGACUGGCUGGCCUCUCCCCAUCCCUUCCACUCAUCCAAGCAGGUGUGGCUGCCAAAGGCCCCGGCCCCUGAAGGCCUGGGAGAACUGAGAUGGACGGAUGAUGUGGUGGCUGCAAGGGGAUGGUUUCCCUGCUUAUCCCGGGGGCCAGUGUGCACGUUCUUGCCUCUCUGUCCCUCAGGCCUGGCUUUGCCUCCCACCCCUCUCACUCCAAAUAAGCCCAGGCAAAUUGGCGAAAAGUCAAGCCUGAGUUGCUGGAGUUGGGAAAAACAGAACAAGAGAGAAGCACUGAGAACACAGCUGA
rnacentral:lncRNA from 10 species